rnacentral:rRNA from 1 species
CCUACGGGGGGCUGCAGUGGGGAAUAUUGCACAAUGGGCGCAAGCCUGAUGCAGCCAUGCCGCGUGUGUGAAGAAGGCCUUCGGGUUGUAAAGCACUUUCAGCGGGGAGGAAGGCGGUGAGGUUAAUAACCUCAUCGAUUGACGUUACCCGCAGAAGAAGCACCGGUUAACUCCGUGCCAGCAGCCGCGGUAAUACGGAGGGUGCAAGCGUUAAUCGGAAUUACUGGGCGUAAAGCGCACGCAGGCGGUCUGUCAAGUCGGAUGUGAAAUCCCCGGGCUCAACCUGGGAACUGCAUUCGAAACUGGCAGGCUAGAGUCUUGUAGAGGGGGGUAGAAUUCCAGGUGUAGCGGUGAAAUGCGUAGAGAUCUGGAGGAAUACCGGUGGCGAAGGCGGCCCCCUGGACAAAGACUGACGCUCAGGUGCGAAAGCGUGGGGAGCAAACAGGAUUAGAUACCCGGGUAGUC